GCGAGUCAGCGGCGUUCGUAGCGGCGGCGGCGGCUACAACUACAACGCGAGCCCGGGCGGAGCGGAGGCCCGCGGAGCAGAGGAACAUCGCGGAGCAGAGGAACAUCCCGGCUUCCCGGUCCGGGGCGGCGUGGCCCGCGGCUCAUGGCCAAAGGAGAGGGCGCCGAGAGCGGCUCCGCCGCGGGGCUGCUGCCCACGGGCAUCCUCCAAGCCGGUGAACGCCCGGUCCAGGUGAAGAAGGAGUCGAAGAAGAAAAACCAGUUGUCCAUUUGCAAUAAACUUUGCUAUGCAGUUGGGGGGACACCCUACCAGGUGACGGGUUGUGCCCUGGGGUUCUUCCUGCAGAUCUACCUGUUGGAUGUAGCUCAGGUGGAUCCUUUCUCUGCUUCCAUCAUCCUGUUUGUGGGCCGAGCUUGGGAUGCCAUCACAGACCCCCUGGUGGGCUUCUGCAUUAGCAAAUCCCCCUGGACCCGCCUAGGCCGCCUCAUGCCGUGGAUCAUCUUCUCCACGCCCCUGGCCAUCAUCGCCUACUUCCUCAUCUGGUUCGUGCCUGACUUCCAACAGGGCCAGACCCUGUGGUACUUGCUUUUCUACUGCCUCUUUGAGACGCUGGUCACGUGUUUCCACGUUCCCUACUCAGCUCUCACCAUGUUCAUCAGCACGGAACAGAGUGAGCGGGAUUCUGCCACUGCGUAUCGGAUGACCGUGGAGGUAUUAGGUACAGUGCUGGGCACAGCAAUCCAGGGGCAGAUUGUGGGCCAAGCACAUACACCUUGUGUCCAGGACGCCAAUGCUUCUACAGUAGCCUUGGAAGGUGUCAAUCGCACGCAGAGCGCCACCUCGCUCAGAGAAACGCAAAACGCAUACCUGCUGGCGGCAGGGGUCAUUGCCUCCAUCUAUGUCAUCUGCGCUGUCAUCCUGACCCUGGGCGUGCGGGAGCAGAGAGAACCCUACGAGACUCAGCAGGCCAAGCCGAUGCCCUUCUUUCGGGGCCUCCGGCUGGUCAUGAGCCAUGGCCCGUACAUCAAGCUUAUUGCCGGCUUCCUCUUCACCUCCUUGGCUUUCAUGCUGGUGGAGGGGAACUUCGCUCUGUUUUGCACCUACACCUUGGGUUUUCGUAACGAAUUCCAGAAUCUGCUCCUGGCCAUCAUGUUCUCGGCCACAGUCACCAUCCCCAUCUGGCAGUGGUUCCUAACCCGGUUUGGCAAGAAGAUGGCUGUGUACAUUGGGAUCUCAUCAGCAGUGCCAUUUCUCAUCUUGGUGGCCCUCAUGGAGAGUAACCUGAUUGUCACAUAUGUGGUAGCUGUGGCAGCCGGCGUCAGUGUAGCAGCUGCCUUCUUACUACCCUGGUCCAUGCUGCCUGACGUCAUUGAUGACUUCCACUUGAAGCAGCCCCAUAUCCAUGGGACCGAGCCCAUCUUCUUCUCCUUCUAUGUCUUCUUCACCAAGUUUGCCUCCGGAGUCUCCCUGGGCAUCUCCACCCUCAGUCUGGACUUUACUGGGUACCAGACCCGUGGCUGCUCCCAGCCAGCACGUGUCAAGUUCACACUGAAGAUGCUGGUGACCAUGGCUCCCAUAGUCCUCAUCCUCAUAGGCCUGCUGCUCUUUAAGCUGUACCCCAUUGACGAGGAGAAGCGGCGGCAGAACAAGAAGGCCCUGCAGGCCCUGAGAUGAAGACACUGAGGCUUAACCAGGAAGAGUGACAAGUGAUAAGGGGCAGAGCUGGGGUUUGAGCCCUGGUGUUCUGACUCCAGAGCCCACACUCUUCACGGCUCUCCUGGUGUGCAGGAGCUCAGGGAAGAGGCCAGCAGCUCGGGGUGCUCUGACACAGACUCUACAGAACUAGCCAGAAUCCUCUAGGGCCUGCUGGGUGGCCCGAAGCCACCAUGCACAGGGCCUGGGUCGCCAGGCCAGAUGAGGAAUCUGGGCCUGCUUGCCUGCUCACUGAACAGCUGGUCUCCAGAUGCCAGGAAGGGAGCCAAAGACUCAAGAGUGAGCGACUCAGGAUGCCUCCUGUGCCCAUCGUGAGGCGGGCUGUUCAUACAGCCACCAGCCUCCCUCUGCCCACCACAGGGGCCAAGCCCAGGGGCUGCUACUGUGAACAUGCCACCAGGACUGAUCGGGCCUAGCCCGGGACACUAAUGUAGAAACGUUUUAUACAGAGACUAAUUAAUAACUUAAUGACCAUGUACAUAGCAGUCUGUGUGUUUGUAUAUGUCUGUGAGCUAUUAAUGUUAUUAAUUUUCAUAAAAGCUGGGAAACGGA